UACGAAGGGUGCAAGCGUUACUCGGAAUUAUUGGGCGUAAAGAGCUCGUAGGCGGUCUGUUGCGUCCGCUGUGAAAACUCGGGGCUUAACCCCGAGCCUGCAGUGGAUACGGGCAGACUAGAGGUAGGUAGGGGAGAAUGGAAUUCCCGGUGUAGCGGUGAAAUGCGCAGAUAUCAGGAGGAACACCGGUGGCGAAGGCGGAUCUCUGGGCCGAUACUGACGCUGAGGAGCGAAAGCGUGGGGAGCGAACAGG
rnacentral:rRNA from 1 species